rnacentral:lncRNA from 1 species
AUACACGUCGAGACCUAGUGCAUACCAUGCAUGACGUAGGAAUCGAUAUCAUAGACGGUCAAAACAUUCUUACUCUAUAUUUUUAGUUCAUAUACUAAUUAACUAUGCAAAUUAAAUAUCCUUACGAUAAAUUAAGAUGUUUAGCUACUUCAAUUAAGGGGGCUAUGAAACACAAUUGAAAUCCGUGUGCAUGGGCUAUAGACGUCGUGAGGAGAAAGAACCCACCAUUACUUUUAUAUAUUUGUUACACUUUAGUGUGUUUGCUGUGGACAAACGUAUCUUCUAAUCGGUGAGUCUUCUCCACCUGAAGACGGAUGUUGCGGCUUCAAAAGCGUUGCUUGCAAUAUUAAUAGAUAAAGAUAUAGAGGAUAUACCUCACCC